AGUGAACGCUGGCGAUAGGCCUAACACAUGCAAGUCGAACGGCAGCACAGUAAGAGCUUGCUCUUACGGGUGGCGAGUGGCGGACGGGUGAGGAAUACAUCGGAAUCUACUUUUUCGUGGGGGAUAACGUAGGGAAACUUACGCUAAUACCGCAUACGACCUACGGGUGAAAGCAGGGGAUCUUCGGACCUUGCGCGAUUGAAUGAGCCGAUGUCGGAUUAGCUAGUUGGCGGGGUAAAGGCCCACCAAGGCGACGAUCCGUAGCUGGUCUGAGAGGAUGAUCAGCCACACUGGAACUGAGACACGGUCCAGACUCCUACGGGAGGCAGCAGUGGGCAAUAUUGGACAAUGGGCGCAAGCCUGAUCCAGCCAUACCGCGUGGGUGAAGAAGGCCUUCGGGUUGUAAAGCCCUUUUGUUGGGAAAGAAAAGCAGCAGGUUAAUACCCCGCUGUUCUGACGGUACCCAAAGAAUAAGCACCGGCUAACUUCGUG
rnacentral:rRNA from 1 species